UACGUAGGUGGCAAGCGUUGUCCGGAUUUACUGGGCGUAAAGAGCGCGCAGGCGGUCGUAUAAGUCGAAUGUGAAAGCCCCCGGCUCAACUGGGGAGGGUCAUUCGAUACUGUUCGACUCGAAGGCAGGAGAGGGAAGUGGAAUUCCCGGUGUAGUGGUGAAAUGCGUAGAUAUCGGGAGGAACACCAGUGGCGAAGGCGACUACCUGGCCUGUUCUUGACGCUGAGGCGCGAAAGCUAGGGGAGCAAACGGG
rnacentral:rRNA from 1 species